rnacentral:lncRNA from 1 species
CUGCGGGCGAGCAGCGGCGCUCGCGUUCCGGCAUCGACGUCAGGCACGAGGACCAACCGGCGGAUGCUGGAGCCGGCGCUGCCUGCGACCGGGGCCUGGGUCAGUGAGGAGCCCUCGGUCCCUCCGGGCCGCUGUUGCCUUCCCCACACGCUGCGCUAGUUUGGAGCCGGCCAGCGUGCGAGUCGAGGCCCUGGCUGGGUGGCGGUUUGAGGUUUUCUGUCAGGUGUUCCACUGUAAUGAUGCUGACUUUUAUUUUAAUUUUAGGAGUUAAAUUUCCAUUUUUUUGCUGCACAUCAGAGCAAUUUGUCUGCAUACAGAAAUGAAAUAAUAUUUAAAAACAGCUGGCAAAUUAAAGAUUGCAGUGGCCUAACCUCUAUGCUCAAGUAACAUUAAUUGGACUGCAAGAACUAGUUUGGGUAAGUAGUUUUAAUAAAAAUAUAUUUAAAAGACA